UACAGAGGUCCCAAGCGUUGUUCGGAUUCAUUGGGCGUAAAGGGUGCGUAGGCGGCGCGGUAAGUCGGGUGUGAAAUCUCGGAGCUUAACUCCGAAACUGCAUUCGAUACUGCCGUGCUUGAGGACUGGAGAGGAGACUGGAAUUUACGGUGUAGCGGUGAAAUGCGUAGAUAUCGUAAGGAAGACCAGUGGCGAAGGCGGGUCUCUGGACAGUUCCUGACGCUGAGGCACGAAGGCCAGGGGAGCAAAACGGGAUUAGAAACCCCCGGGUAG
rnacentral:rRNA from 1 species